AUUACAGAUGGGCCAUGGGAGUUUUUCCACUACAGAUAUUUACGUUUAUAAAUCACGUUGUCUUCUUAGAAAAGUCAGAAGGAGGUUAAAACAGUCAAGCCACAGACCUGUAGAAAAUAUAGUAUCAACAACUCUCAAAUCUGAAAACAAACACCCAGUAACAAAAUGGGCAAAAUAUUUGAACAGACAUUUCACCAAAGGAACUAUACAGAUGAACAUUAAAAGAUGCUAAACAUUGUAGUUAUUAGGGAAGUGUAAAUCAAAUCCACAAUGGAACACUUUUACAUACUUAUUACAAUGGCUAUAAAACCCUGACAAUAUCAAGUAUGGCAAGGUAUGCAAAGCAACUGGAAGUCUCAUGCAUUGCUGAUGAGAAUGCAAAAUGACAGCCUUUUUGGAAAGAAGUGAUAAGGACAGAAGGCAGGGCUUUACUGGGUAGAAGAGGGUGGUUCACUGGCAAAGGUCCCACCCUCAAGCCUUGAAACCGAAGCCCUAAAUGAGAACAGUUAUCCCUGUUAUCCUGCCCAAAUGUUACUCUUUAGCCUGUCCAGCCCCCCUAUCCCGUGCCCAUAUAAACCCCAGACCUCAGCUGGCAGACAGACAAGCGGCUGAACAUCAAGAGGAGAAGAAGCAACUGAGUGUCAGAGAUGUGGCUUAACUUCAGGUGGCAUGACUUCAGGGAGGAGCCCGGCCAGAGACAGCAGACUUCAGGGAAAGGUCACUUUCUUCCUGCACCAUCCCCUUUGCAGCUCCCCUUCCACUGAGAGCCACUUCCACCAUUUAAUAAAAUCGUCCACAUCCAUCAACUUUCAAACCAUUCAUGCAACCUGAUUCUUCCUGGAUGCUGAACAAGAACCUGGGUACCAACAGGGCAGGGUGUAAAAGGCUGCCACCCUGACUCUCCAUUGAGUGGGUUAACACUUAGCUGUCCACGGAUGGCAACUGCUAAAAGAGCAUGAAUUGUAACACAUCCCUAAAUGCUGCUGUUGGGCUGGAGCCCAAAAGUGCUCAUCGAAGCCCUGGCACCCGCUUGCCUGCGUGCUCCCGCUCCCACAGAGAGUUUGAGCAUGGUGGUGGCCAAGUAAGUAGGCCACACCCCUGUCGCAAGUCCCGAGAAGGGGUCAAGGGAACUCUCCCAUCUCAGAAGUAUGGCAAUUUCUUAUAAAAUUGAACAUAGGGUUACUGUACAACCUGGCAAUUUCACUCCUAGGCAUUUAGCCAAGUGAAACUUAUGUCCUCUAAGACUGUGUGUACAAAUUUUUAUAUGUGCUUUACUCAUAAUAGCCGAAAUACCCUGGAAAUAGCCCAACUGAUCUUCAUUGAGUGAAUUGCUAAAUAAGCUCUGUGUUAUAUUACAUCCACACAACAGAAUCCUGACCAUCAUUGAAAAGGAGUGGACUAUUAAUACAUGCAAUAACUUGGAUCAAUCUCAAAUGCAUUACACUAAGUGAAAGAGACCAGACUUAAAGCCUACCUUCUGUGACAUUAGAGAUAAGGUGAAACCACAGGAACAGAAAACAUAUUAGUGUUGCCAGGAGCAAAAGGUGGGGGAGGUGUUGACUUUCAAAGCACAGGAGGAAAUUUUUUGUUGUUGUUCUUUAUCUUGAUUGUGUUAGUGCCCACAUGACUGUAUGCAUUUCUCAUAAUUCACAGAACUGUAUACUAAUAAGGGUGCACUUCACUGCACAUAAAUGAAUCUCAACAGACAAAAGGUUAAAAAAGAAAGAAAUCUCGGGACAGGAAUCAUGGAUUUUUGUAUUAUCCUUGUAUUUGAUGGUUGUUUCCAGUUUGGUCACUCAUCUGUUUGUUCAUUCCUUUAACAAGUAUGUGUCGAGUGCCUACUAUGUGCUGGGCACUGUAGGUUCAAUGGUAAGAAAAGCAGAUACAGGACUGCUCUUGUGAAGUUCCUUGAAAGAAAUAAAACAAAGUGCAAAAUA
ensembl:lncRNA TBILA TGF-beta induced lncRNA